GGCUGGUCCAAAGGCAGUGAGUUAUAGCAAUUGAUCGUUCACAGUCAGUUACAGAUCCAACUCCUUGUUCUACUCUUUUUCCCCCUUAUCACUACUACACUUGACUAGUCUUUA
ensembl:misc_RNA Y_RNA Y RNA